UCCGGGGGCGGGUCGUGCCGGCUCCGAGCUGCUCGGGUUCCGCUGUUCGCUGUACUUGGUGCAAAGUGGAAGCGAAGCAGCUCUGGUAUCACCACUCUUGGCCCUUUCUCAAGAGCAUCCGAAAAUGAACAAAUCCCAGCCCACCCCCAUUCUCCAGAGAGGGGAGAGGGGCUAAACGUGGAGUUCAUGAUCCAUCGUGCCUACACGAUGAAGCUUCUGUAACAAAAAUGCCAAAAAUGCCAAUAGCACGGGCUUCGGAGACCUUCCAGGAUGGCGAUGCUGGGAGAGUGGCGGCCCCAGGACGGACAUGGAAGCCCCGUGCCCCUUGGCAUAGCAGGUCCCCCACAUCUCUUCCGGUAAGAUGUUCGUCCUUACCCUUUAUGUCUUUUUAUAAUAAACUGGUGAACAGCAAGGACACUUGCCCUGGGUUUUGUGAGCUGCUCUAACAAAUUCAUCAAACUCGAGAAGGGGAUCAUAGACCCUCUGAUUUGUAGCUGAAGGGUCAACACAGAUGACGACCUGGUCUCAUGAUUGGCUUGGGGGGGUGGGCAGUCUUGUGGGACCGAACCCUUAACCUGUGGGAUGUGACACUGUCUCCAAGUACAUAGGAUCGGAAUUGAGUUACACUGCAGGAUACCUGGCCCAGGUCACAGAAUUGCUUGGUGUGGGAACCCCCCCCCCCCCCCCCGGCACAGCUAGUGUGGUCGUUGCGUGAGAGUAAAGGAAAAACACAGGAGGACAGAGGGUCUCUGCACAUGGGAGGUUAAGACUUCAGCUCAACCCACAAACAUCCUGUUAGAUUAUAUCUUCAGAUGUGUGACAACGAAAACAAAGUAAAUAAGAAUUUCAUGAUUAAAAGCAAAAAAAAAAUUUAGUUGUAUACCCUAGGUUAGUAUUCAGAUGACAUUUCAAGUUUAAAUAGAAGCCUUUAGGGACACCUGGAUGGCUCAGUUGGCUAAGCGUCUGACUUCAGCUCAGGUCAUGAUCUCACAGUUCGUGAGUUCGAGCCCUGCCUCAGGCUCUGCGCUGCCAGUGUGGAACCUGCUUGGGAAUCUUGCUCUCCCCUCUCUGCCCCUCCCGACUUGCGCUUUCUCUCGCUCCCAAAAUAGAUAAACUUCAAAAACAUAAAUAAGCAUUUAUAACUUUGCUCUCCAUUACUUAUCACACCAACAACUCCAGUGAAACAAUGUAAACAUCUUAGGUGAUUUUAAUAUUAAAAUUCGAUUGGAAAUAAGCAGAAAACAAAAAUUUGUGCUGACAUUUUAUAAUGUUUUGAAUAGCCUAACUUUUGCAUGAGGACUUUUUUCUUUUUCUUGUAAUUGAGGAAUUAUGGCUUCUAAUUAGUGAUAGCCCCCAGGAGACAUGGCAGAUCUCAAAAAGUACAUGAGAAUUUUUGUUGAGAUCGAAAUUUCUGUUGAGCUUAGUGAUGGCAAAUUUGGAGGACAAGACUUUUCAGAAGAUGUUCUGUUCUAUUAAAGCUUUUUUUUUUUUUUAAUUUUUUUUUUAACGUUUAUUUAUUUUUGGGACAGAGAGAAACAGAGCAUGAACGGGGGAGGGGCAGAGAGAGAGGGAGACACAGAAUCGGAAGCAGGCUCCAGGCUCUGAGCCAUCAGCCCAGAGCCUGACGCGGGGCUCGAACUCACAAACUGCGAGAUCGUGACCUGAGCUGAAGUCGGACGCUUAACCGACUGAGCCACCCAGGCGCCCCUCUUUCUUUUCUUAUAGACUUUAGAAUUAGCAGUUUGAUCCUGAUAGGAGCCAUGUUGGAAAGGUUAAUGGAUUUGAAGCACGUGAAAUAGUUCGUUUAAUUUUAACUCUAACCUAGAAUUUUGAGAACCAAGUUUAGGAGUAAGGAGUCCACUGCACAAAUUUUUUUCUCUUUAUCCCAAUAACCAUUUCUAUUUCUAUAGUUGUAUUGAUAAGUGUGGAUGAUUUUUUUUUUUAAGAGAGGGAGAAAACAAGUGAGCAGGGGAGGGGCAGAGGGAGGAGAGCGAGAAACACAAUAAUCUACUGGUGAACAGCAAGGACACUUUUCCUGGGUUUUGUGAGCUGCUCUAAUAAACUCAUCAAACUCUGGAAGGGGGUCAUGGGACCACACUGGGCGUGGAGCCUGACACGGGGCUCAAUGGCACAACCAUAAGAUCACGCCCUGAGCCAAAAGUCAAGAGUUGGACGCUUAACGGACUGAACCACCCAGGUGCCCUGAUUCUGUACUCAUUUCAAAAACUUAUUUCAGUUGUAAGAGCAAAAAACAAAAAAAAUCUUAUUUCAGUUGUAUCUUCAGUUUAUAUAUAACUUAAUCUAUAAAACUAUAAGGGGUCUUAUUUAUAAAGGUAAGCCAUAUAUAUAUAUAUAUAUCACACAUACAUAUACACACGUGUGUGUGUGUGCAUAUAUAUACACACAUAUAUAUACACACACAUAUAUAUAUAUAUGCACACACACACAAUUUUCUUAGAGAUAAACACAUAAGGUAUAAGACGAGGAGGGGCCACAUCUGGGGAUUACACAAUUUAGCUCUGUGCCAGCCACUGUAACAUCUAGGAAAGCAGAAAGACAUGGGAAUAACAAAGAAGAAACAGGAUGCGGUCUUCUGGUCACUUUCUGUGGAUCCAGGCCAGUCGUUAAACAGACUUGUUAGGCCACACCUGUCCCAGCUGGCUGAACAGCGAGAAGUUGCUACCAGUAAUGAUGGGAACCGAUUCAGGGAAGUAUAAUUAGAUCUCUGACCCAAGGCCUGAAUGGAUUCAGCAUCAUACACCCGUGUUAGCACAUAACUAGAAGACUUAGUAUUUAUUCAUUAAAGCAUACAGGAAAUCAACUUACUUCAAAUUACAGGGCAAGUAAUAGAUACUCUGCGUCCUGAAUCUAACUAGAACUGUUGCCAUUCGUCCAUUUCUUUUGAUUCUCUAGAUACAUCGAAGCAGUGUGUGACUACUCGGGGAGGCUGGAUGUUCCAGAGUUAUAUCUGCUUUGACUAGAGGGAGAAGCCAUUACACCCCAACCAUCAACCUUUAGAUUUAUGUCCACUCUUAGCCUUUUAGCCUUCAAAUCAUGAUCAGCUUGGGUGCCCGGGUGGCUCAGUCUGUUAAGCAUCCGACUUCAGCUCAGGUCGUGAUCUCACAGUCCGUGAGUUCAAGCCCUGUUUUGGGCUCUGUGCUGACAGCUCAGAGCCUGGAGCCUGCUUCGAAUUCUGGGUCUCCCUCUCUCUCUGCCCCUCCCCUGCUCAUGAUCUCUCAGUCUCCCAAAAGUGAAUCAACACUAAAAAAAACAAAUUUAAAUCACGAUCAGCUUUUCCUUUUUCAUGGUCCAUUGGCAAAGGGUCUUCUUUUUUGAUAGUUCUAAUUCCAAAGAGAAGGCUUUCCCCUCCCCUGCCCCCUUAGUUAUGCUUAGAUUCAGGUUGGAUCAUCUCCCUACAAAAGUUUACAUCUUUAGAGAGCUGGCUCCAUUAAAAAUAGGCUUUUUAUUCAUCCAGCGAAAAUAGAUUAUGAACAAGCAACAAAACCAGCGUUCUUUUCGCUCCACCCUUCCAGCCACCUCCUAGCCUACUUUUCAUGAUAGGAGCAGCCUUCUACAAUUUCCUGUCUCUGGUGAACAUGUGCAGCCAUUUUUGCUCAAAAAAAAAAAAAAAAAUCCAGUCAAUGCAACAUAUAGAGUACAUUUCUAAUCCCAUCUGCGUCUCUUCAACAUACACAUAUUUCUAUUUCUCUGAUGUUUUACACAAAAGGCUUUGAGCAAAAACCUUUUUCCACAUUGACCUCUUUUGCCAGAAUUGGGAAUUGAACCCAAACGUAAGUGCUUUCGAAAGGCCUCUCUGCCUCUUACAGCUGUUCAGGGUUUCUUUUUAUCAUGAGUUUUCUGAUGUCGAGUAAGUUUGGAGUUUAAGCUAAAAGAUUUUCCACAUUGGUUACAUACAAAAGGUUUCUCUCCAGUAUGGAUUUUCAUGUGUUUGUUAAGAUUUGAGUUAUUGUUAAAGACCUUUUGACAUUCACUACAUUUAUAGAGUUUUUCUUUGGUAUGAAUGUUUUUAUGCCGGUUAAAAUCUGAGCAGAAGCGAAAGGUCUUUUGGCAUUCGGGACACGUAAAGGGCCGCUCUUCAGAAUGAGUUUUCUGAUGUUUAAUGACGCUUGACUGAUACUUAAAGGUUUUGUCACAAACAUUACACUUGUAUGGCCUCUCUCCAGUAUGACUUCUUUGAUGUUGAGUUAGGUCUGAGAAACGGACAAAGGUCUUUUUACAACUGCUACAGAUGUACUGUUUCUCUCCAGUGUGAACGUGUUGAUGACGCUGUAGAUCGAUGAGCUGCGUAAAGGCCUUUUCACAGUUGUCGCAUGAAAAGGACUUCUCUCCACUAUGAAUUUUCUGAUGUUUUUUAAGAUUGGAGCUGCUCUUGUAGGACUUGUCACAGUCAUUACAUUUGUAGGGUCUCUCUCCGGUAUGAACCCUCUGAUGGAGGACAAACUGUGAGUAUGGGCUGAAGUCCUUUUUGCAAUAAUUACACGUGUAGCAUUGCUUUCUCACGUGAAUUUUUUGGUGCUGCAUUUUCUCUGCGAAACUGUCAAAGGCCCUUCCACAAGACUUGCAGGCAAAGAGUUUCUUUUGAGAAUGAGGUUUUUGGUGGAGGAUCAGGUUUGGCCUCUUGCCGACGUGAAGCCUGUGGUGAACGUUAAAGGAGGAGAGAAACCUGAAGGCCUUUUGACACACACCACACUUGUAGGGCUUCAGACUGCUGUGCGCACUCUGGUGCUGAAUAAACUUGGAAGUCCUGUUAAAGGUUUUUCCACACUGGUUACACUCCAAGUGCUUAUCCAGAAUAGAGAGUCUUUGAAGCGUUGUAAAGGAUGAGGGAUGUCUGAAGGCCUUUACGUUCUGGCCCGGUUUGUGGGCUUUCUGUACCGUGUGAAUUCUCUGAUGUCCAGUAAGAUGGGAGAGGUGGCUGAACGCCAUGCCGCAGCCCUCACAGUCAUAAGGCUGGACAAAGGUACAGAACUUUUGAUAUUUCCCAUGGUGACAGCUCGGUCUGAUGCUAGUCACAGAUUCACUAAGGGCAUGAUAACUGGCCAGUGCUGGCUGACAUGCUGUCGGGAGAACAAUAGGAGGGAAGCUGAAUUAAAUCCAGGCACUGCCGGGGCGCCUGGGUGGCUCAGUCAGUUAAGCGGCCGACUUCGGCUCAGGUCAUGAUCUCGCGGUCCGUGCGUUCGAGCCCCGCGUCGGGCUAUGGGCUGACAGCUCAGAGCCUGGAGCCUGUUUCACAUUCUGUGUCUCCCUCUCUCUGACCCUCCCCCAUUCGUGCUCUGUCUCUCUCUGUCUCAAAAAUAAAUAAACAUUAAAAAAAAAAAUAGGGUCAUGGGUUUGAGCCCCACGUGGGGUUUAGAGAUUACUUAAAUUAAAGGCAAAAAAAAAAAAAAAAUUCAGGCACUGCCACAAACAUCAAGAUCAUUAGUAAGUGGGGUACGGGGAGGGAACGGCUCAGUGACUGGGGACUUCAGAGAGGUAGGAGGAAGGAGAGACCCAUUCUCCAAGUAGAAGAAGAAUUUAAACGACCAGCAGGUGGCCCGUGAAAGAUUUCUGUAAACUUGAAAUACUUACAUUGGUGACCGUGUUUUUAAAAAAAAAAAAAAAAAA